GAGAUGAAGAGGAGAAGCAUGACGAUAGAGGAAACGAUAGUGAUAAUGCCACCGGAGAGUGUCCGGCUGUAGAAAUCUUCAUUGAUCUUGGGAUAAGCAUCCAAACUCCUUAGCCUGCUGAUUAAGCCCUCCAUCUUCCGCAGAGAUUAAGGCAAGGAAUGGAUGGAUGAUGAAGGAUAAAUCGAUCGAACGAUGAUGUUAUGAAUAAAUAGAAAAAUUGAAGUAGAGAAAUAAAUUAAGGAUGAACAACCGAAAUUAAAAAUAUGGAUUUUUCAGAAAAUUGACCUAAGACGCCUCGUUGUAAUAGGAGAAAUCGAUCUCAACUUUUUAACGAGGC
rnacentral:misc_RNA from 1 species